rnacentral:rRNA from 1 species
CGGGGUGAGUAAUGCUUGGGAAUCUAGCUUAUGAGGGGGAGUAACUACGGGAAACUGUAGCUAAUACCGCAUAAUAUCGAAAGAUUAAAGUGUGGGACCUUCGGGCCACAUGCCAUAGGAUGAGCCCAAGUGGGAUUAGGUAGUUGGUGAGGUAAAGGCUCACCAAGCCGACGAUCUCUAGCUGGUCUGAGAGGAUGACCAGCCACACUGGGACUGAGACACGGCCCAG